rnacentral:rRNA from 1 species
AUUGAACGCUGGCGGCAUGCUUUACACAUGCAAGUCGAACGGUAACAGGCCUUCGGGUGCUGACGAGUGGCGAACGGGUGAGUAAUGCAUCGGAACGUGCCCAGAGGUGGGGGAUAACGCAGCGAAAGCUGUGCUAAUACCGCAUGUGAUCUGAGGAUGAAAGCGGGGGACCAGGCAGCAAUGUUUGGCCUCGCGCCUUUGGAGCGGCCGAUGUCAGAUUAGGUAGUUGGUGGGGUAAAGGCCUACCAAGCCGACGAUCUGUAGCUGGUCUGAGAGGACGAACAGCCACACUGGGACUGAGACACGGCCCAGACUCCUACGGGAGGCAGCAGUGGGGAAUUUUGGACAAUGGGCGAAAGCCUGAUCCAGCAAUGCCGCGUGCGGGAAGAAGGCCUUCGGGUUGUAAAACGCUUUUGUACGGAACGAAAAGGCUCUGGCUAAUACCUGGGGCUGAUGACGGUACCGUAAGAAUAAGCACCGGCUAACUACGUG